AGGCUUGGAGAGAUGAAGGUCACCCAGGCACCCCAGGCUGAGCUAUCAGCAUCAACAUAUGGCCCUUGGGAUCCUCAGAAGGCUUGGCUCCAUCUUCCACAGUUGGGGCAGGGAAGGUGGGCAUCUUGGUGCCUGGCUUGGCAGUCACAUAAGGACCAUCUGGUGCCUGCUGGAAGAAAGUCAAGAUUGGAGUUCCUCACUCUCCACUUUGCCCACUCAUCCUGGGCUUCCUUACCCAGGCCUCUGCAGUUGUGCAGCAGAAGGAGCUCUGGGCUGGGAGGAAGGAUGUGCUGAUAAUUAUUUAACAUCUAACUCUCUGAGGAAAAAAAACGUAUACAUGAUACACUUUUGUUUUAACCUGUAUUAUCAACAUUUUUUCCUUCGCUUUCUUAAGUCUAG
rnacentral:lncRNA from 1 species